AUUGUAGUCUGGAGAAGCGUCCUCUGCAACGGACCGGACCCAAGUUCCCUGGAACGGGACGUCGGAAAGGGUGAGAGCCCCGUCGAGUUCGGACCCUGUUGCUCCACGAGGCGCUGUCUGCGAGUCGGGCUGUUUGGGAAUGCAGCCCUAAGCGGGUGGUAAAUUCCAUCCAAGGCUAAAUAUUGGCAAGAGACCGAUAGCGAACAAGUACCGCGAGGGAAAGAUGAAAAGGACUUUGAAAAGAGAGUUAAAAAGUGCUUGAAAUUGCUGGGAGGGAAGCGAAUGGAAGCUGCGGGUGCGCCUCGGUUGGAUGCGGAACGGCGAAAGCUGGUCCGCCGCUCAACGCGGGGCGCUGGUCAGCGUGGGCCACCGUGGCGGGACAAGAGUCGGCUGUAGUUGCUGGCCUAUGCCGUUGCGGUGGCCGAGGGACGAAGCGCGCGCCACUAGGCGGGCCUUAGGGCACCUGCGCGCUCGGGACGCUGGCGUAUUGAGCUCUCCAUCCGACCCGUCUUGAAACACGGACCAAGGAGUCUAACAUGUAUGCGAGCCGGUGGGCGGCAAACCCAUUGAGGCGCAAGGAACCUGACA
rnacentral:rRNA from 1 species